rnacentral:misc_RNA from 1 species
CUUGGCUGCAUGACGGCAGCCAAAGUUCGAAGAAGAGAGAACAAACAGCAUGACUGAAGGAACCGUGAAGUGGUUCAACGGCGAAAAGGGCUUCGGCUUCAUCGCUCCUGACAACGGUGCAGCGGACGUGUUCGUCCACUACUCCGAGAUCCAGUCCAGCGGAUACCGCAGCCUGGAAGAGAACCAGCGGGUGAAGUUCGACAUCACCCAGGGCGCCAAGGGCCCCCAGGCCGUCUCGGUCUCGGUUAUCUAGACCAACUCGUACGGAAACCCCGCGGUACCCGAUCACCGGGCCGCGGGGUUUCUG